rnacentral:rRNA from 1 species
UACGGGGGGGGCAAGCGUUGUCCGGAUUUAUUGGGUUUAAAGGGUGCGUAGGCGGUCUUAUAAGUCAGUGCUGAAAUAUCCCGGCUUAACCGGGAGGGUGGCAUUGAUACUGUAGGACUUGAGUAGAGUUGAGGUUGGCGGAAUUGACGGUGUAGCGGUGAAAUGCUUAGAUAUCGUCAAGAACACCGAUAGUGAAGACAGCUAACUAAGCUCAAACUGACGCUGAGGCACGAAAGUGUGGGGAUCAAACAGG